AGAGUUUGAUCCUGGCUCAGGAUGAACGCUAGCGGCAGGCUUAAUACAUGCAAGUCGAGGGGCAGCAGGACUGUAGCAAUACAGUUGCUGGCGACCGGCAAACGGGUGCGGAACACGUACGCAACUUACCCAAAACUGGGGAAUAGCCCGGGGAAACCCGGAUUAAUACCUCGUAAGAUAAUGAAGUGGCAUCACUUUAUUAUUAUAGCUCCGGCGGUUUUGGAUGGGCGUGCGCCUGAUUAGGUAGUUGGCGGGGUAACGGCCCACNAAAAAAACGAUCAGUAACUGGUGUGAGAGCACGACCAGUCACACGGGCACUGAGAUCACGGGCCCGACUCCUACGGGAGGCAGCAGUAAGGAAUAUUGGUCAAUGGACGCAAGUCUGAACCAGCCAUGCCGCGUGAAGGAUGAAGGUCCUCUGGAUUGUAACUUCUUUUAUAUGGGAAGAAACCCACUU
rnacentral:rRNA from 1 species